rnacentral:rRNA from 1 species
GAUCAUGGCUCAGGACGAACGCUGGCGGCGUGCUUAACACAUGCAAGUCGAACGAAAAGAGGGAAAGAGCUUGCUCUUUCCGGAAUUGAGUGGCAAACGGGUGAGUAACACGUAAACAACCUGCCUCCAGGAUGGGGACAACAGACGGAAACGACUGCUAAUACCAAAUAAGUUCCAAGGGUCGCAUGAUCCAUGGAAGAAAAGGUGGCCUCUACCUGUAAGCUAUCGCCUGAAGAGGGGUUUGCGU